CAGCCGCCGCGGUAAUACGAAGGGUGCAAGCGUUAAUCGGAAUUACUGGGCGUAAAGCGUGCGUAGGCGGUGAGUUAAGUCUGCUGUGAAAUCCCCGGGCUCAACCUGGGAAUGGCAGUGGAUACUGGCUCGCUAGAGUGUGUCAGAGGAUGGUGGAAUUCCCGGUGUAGCGGUGAAAUGCGUAGAGAUCGGGAGGAACAUCAGUGGCGAAGGCGGCCAUCUGGGACAACACUGACGCUGAGGCACGAAAGCGUGGGGAGCAAACAGGAUUAGAUACCCCGGUAGUCCCUGUCUCUUAUAC
rnacentral:rRNA from 1 species